GGAGAGUUGUCCGAGUGGUCGAAGGUGCAGCACUCGAAAUGCUGUAGGCCAAAAGCCUCUAGGGUUCGAAUCCCUAACUCUCCGCCA
rnacentral:tRNA from 1 species